rnacentral:rRNA from 1 species
UACAGAGGGGGCAAGCGUUGUUCGGAAUUACUGGGCGUAAAGGGCGCGUAGGCGGCCGCCUAAGUCAGACGUGAAAUCCCUCGGCUCAACCGGGGAACUGCAUCCGAUACUGGAUGGCUUGAAUCCGGGAGAGGGAUGCAGAAUUCCAGGUGUAGCGGUGAAAUGCGUAGAUAUCUGGAGGAAUACCGGUGGCGAAGGCGGCAUCCUGGACCGGCAUUGACGCUGAGGAGCGAAAGCUAGGGGAGCAAACGGGG